rnacentral:rRNA from 1 species
CAUGGUUGUCGUCAGCUCGUGUCGUGAGAUGUUCGGGUUAAGUCCCGCAACGAGCGCAACCUCGACCUUAGUUGCCAGCAUUCAGUUGGGCACUCUAAGGUGACUGCCGGCUAAAAGUCGGAGGAAGGUGGGGAUGACGUCAAAUCAUCAUGCCCCUUAUGACCUGGGCUACACACGUGCUACAAUGGGCGGUACAAAGGGUCGCGAACCCGCGAGGGGGAGCCAAUCCCAAAAAGCCGCUCUCAGUUCGGAUUGCAGGCUGCAACUCGCCUGCAUGAAGCCGGAAUCGCUAGUAAUCGCGGAUCAGCAUGCCGCGGUGAAUACGUUCCCGGGCCUU